GAUGAACGCUGGCGGCGUGCCUAAUACAUGCAAGUCGAGCGAACAGACGAGGAGCUUGCUCCUCUGACGUUAGCGGCGGACGGGUGAGUAACACGUGGAUAACCUACCUAUAAGACUGGGAUAACUUCGGGAAACCGGAGCUAAUACCGGAUAAUAUAUUGAACCGCAUGGUUCAAUAGUGAAAGACGGUUUUGCUGUCACUUAUAGAUGGAUCCGCGCCGCAUUAGCUAGUUGGUAAGGUAACGGCUUACCAAGGCAACGAUGCGUAGCCGACCUGAGAGGGUGAUCGGCCACACUGGAACUGAGACACGGUCCAGACUCAUACGGGAGGCAGCAGUAGGGAAUCUUCCGCAAUGGGCGAAAGCCUGACGGAGCAACGCCGCGUGAGUGAUGAAGGUCUUCGGAUCGUAAAACUCUGUUAUUAGGGAAGAACAAAUGUGUAAGUAACUAUGCACGUCUUGACGGUACCUAAUCAGAAAGCCACGGCUAACUACGU
rnacentral:rRNA from 1 species